rnacentral:ncRNA from 1 species
GCGGUACCGGUUCACGCCGGGGCGGAUUCCCCCCCGGCGACCCGGCGACC